rnacentral:rRNA from 1 species
GACGAACGCUGGCGGCGUGCUUAACACAUGCAAGUCGAACGGUGAAGGGGUCUGCUUUUGUGGGCCCUGGAUGAGUGGCGAACGGGUGAGUAACACGUGAGUAACCUGCCCCCUUCUUCUGGAUAACCGCAUGAAAGUGUGGCUAAUACGGGAUAUUCUGGGUCUGUCGCAUGAUGGGUCUGGGAAAGAUUGCGCCUUUGGGUGUUUUUGGUGGGGGAUGGGCUCGCGGCCUAUCAGCUUGUUGGUGGGGUGAUGGCCUACCAAGGCGGUGACGGGUAGCCGGCCUGAGAGUGUGGACGGUCACACUGGGACUGAGACACGGCCCAGACUCCUACGGGAGGCAGCAGUGGGGAAUAUUGCACAAGGGGCGCAAGCCUGAUGCAGCGACGCCGCGUGAGGGAGGGAGGCCUUCGGGGUGUAAACCUCUUUCGCCAGUGAAGCAGGCCUGCUCCUUGUGGGUGGGUUGACGGUAGCUGGAUAAGAAGCGCCGGCUAACUACGUG